UUGGCGGUGGUGGUGGGGUUGAGGGUUAAGUUCAUGGUUGAAGUUGAAACAUUUAGGGUUAGGGUUUAAGAAACUGAGAAAUGUAAGGAUUAAGGAGGG